GAAAAAUGAAGAUUUGAAGAGUCGACGCACCACCCGGCGACACACUUAAACCGUCGGGCGGUCCAGGACAAGGAGAAGGCAUGGCGAUUGACGCUGGGCGGACCUGAGGGAAACUGCCUGGUGGUGGUGAUUGCCGCCGGGCGGUAGGGCGGUUUAAGUGUGCCGCUCGGCGGUGGCUCGCUGGACUUGGGCCCGUUUUCUGAUGCGCUCCUCACUUAUAUAUACCCCUAUUGCGGGAAACAAUGUAAUCUUUUGAUACUCUCUCUUAUU
rnacentral:lncRNA from 1 species